rnacentral:rRNA from 1 species
GACGAACGCUGGCGGCGUGCUUAACACAUGCAAGUCGAACGGAAAGGCCCUGCUUUUGUGGGGUGCUCGAGUGGCGAACGGGUGAGUAACACGUGAGUAACCUGCCCUUGACUUUGGGAUAACUUCAGGAAACUGGGGCUAAUACCGGAUAGGAGCUCCUGCUGCAUGGUGGGGGUUGGAAAGUUUCGGCGGUUGGGGAUGGACUCGCGGCUUAUCAGCUUGUUGGUGGGGUAGUGGCUUACCAAGGCUUUGACGGGUAGCCGGCCUGAGAGGGUGACCGGAGAGGGGGGAAAUGGAAGACGGACGGGAGUAGUACGGGGGGGAGGGGGGGGGAGGGUGGUAGCGGGGGAGGAGGAGUGAGGCGGGAACGCGGGGGACGGGGGGGGGGGGAGAGGGGUGGAAAAAGAAGGAGGCUGUGACGAAGCGUGAGGGGCGGGAAUGGGAAAAGAAGCAAGGGGUAAGGAAGUG